rnacentral:RNase_P_RNA from 2 species
AAGGUCUGCCGGAUGGUCGCGCUUUCUUUUCUGUCCGGUUGGGUUCUCCACCGCUCGGGAAGAAUGUGAGGAAAGUCCGGACACCAUGGAAUCACGGGACCGGGUAAUUCCCGGAGUCCGGAAUCGAAAGAGACCGGAUAUGGAAAGUGCAACAGAAAGGAUACCGCCUCUUUUGAGGUAAGGGUGAAAUGGCGGGGUAAGAGCCCACCGCCGCUUUUGCAAGAAAGCGGGCAAGGUAAACCCUCCCGGGUGCAAUCUCGAAUAGGCGACCGUUUUUAGUCGAUUCCCCUAGGUCGCGGGUAGAGAGCAAGGAGUCCGCUCGGCAACAUGCGGGCCAAGAUAAAUGAUCAUCACUCGCAAGAGUACAAAAUCCGGCUUAUAGUCAGGCCUUCCAC